rnacentral:rRNA from 1 species
AUACGUAGGGUGCGAGCGUUGUCCGGAAUUACUGGGCGUAAAGAGCUCGUAGGUGGUUUGUCGCGUCGUCUGUGAAAUUCCGGGGCUUAACUCCGGGCGUGCAGGCGAUACGGGCACAACUUGAGUACUGUAGGGGAGACUGGAAUUCCUGGUGUAGCGGUGAAAUGCGCAGAUAUCAGGAGGAACACCGGUGGCGAAGGGGGGUCUCUGGGCAGUAACUGACGCUGAGGAGCGAAAGCAUGGGUAGCGAACAGGAUUAGAUACCCCGGUAGUCCAUGCCGUAAACGGUGGGCGCUAGGUGUAGGGGUCUUCCACGACUUCUGUGCCGUAGCUAACGCAUUAAGCGCCCCGCCUGGGGAGUACGGCCGCAAGGCUAAAACUCAAAUGAAUUGACGGGG